UACGUAGGGUGCAAGCGUUAAUCGGAAUUACUGGGCGUAAAGCGUGCGCAGGCGGUUUUGUAAGUCUGUUGUGAAAUCCCCGGGCUUAACCUGGGAAUGGCAAUGGAGACUGCAAGGCUAGAGUUUGGCAGAGGGGGGUAGAAUUCCACGUGUAGCAGUGAAAUGCGUAGAGAUGUGGAGGAACACCGAUGGCGAAGGCAGCCCCCUGGGUCAAAACUGACGCUCAUGCACGAAAGCGUGGGGAGCAAACAGG
rnacentral:rRNA from 1 species